CACUAGGACCUCUUUAGAAAUUUUUUCUCAAAAGAUCCCACCACACACAAAUCAGAUUUUAUGUUCAACACAUGAACAAUCUGAUUUUUGGACAAACAUCUCAUGCUUUCCAAUUUCACUCUUCUCUUCCUUUCUAUUUUUCUCUCUCUUUUCCUUUCUAUUUUCACUUCAAAUUUUUUUUACCUCUUCCUUAUCUAAUCUCACAUCCAAAAUAAUUUUUUGGAUGAUUUUUAUGCCAUAUGGGAUGCCC
rnacentral:lncRNA from 1 species